rnacentral:rRNA from 1 species
GAGUUUGAUCCUGGCUCAGAACGAACGCUGGCGGCAUGCCUAACACAUGCAAGUCGAACGAGACCUUCGGGUCUAGUGGCGCACGGGUGCGUAACGCGUGGGAAUCUGCCCUUGGGUUCGGAAUAACAGUGAGAAAUUACUGCUAAUACCGGAUGAUGUCUUCGGACCAAAGAUUUAUUGCCCAAGGAUGAGCCCGCGUAGGAUUAGCUAGUUGGUGGGGUAAUGGCCUACCAAGGCGACGAUCCUUAGCUGGUCUGAGAGGAUGAUCAGCCACACUGGGACUGAGACACGGCCCAGACUCCUACGGGAGGCAGCAGUGGGGAAUAUUGGACAAUGGGCGAAAGCCUGAUCCAGCAAUGCCGCGUGAGUGAUGAAGGCCUUAGGGUUGUAAAGCUCUUUUACCCGGGAUGAUAAUGACAGUACCGGGAGAAUAAGCUCCGGCUAACUCCGUGCCAGCCGCCGCAGU